rnacentral:rRNA from 1 species
AUUGAACGCUGGCGGCAGGCCUAACACAUGCAAGUCGAACGAGUGGCGGACUGGUGAGUAAUGUCUGGGAAACUGCCUGAUGGAGGGGGAUAACUACUGGAAACGGUAGCUAAUACCGCAUACCAUCGGAUGUGCCCAGAUGGGAUUAGCUAGUAGGUGGGGUAAAGGCUCACCUAGGCGACGCUCACUAGCUGGUCUGAGAGGCUGCCCAGCAAAACUGGAACUGAGACACGGCCCAGACUCCGACGGGAGGCAGAAGUGGGGAAUAUUGCAAAAGGGGAGAAAGCCGGAUGCAGACAGGCGGCGUGGAGGAAGAAGGCCUUCGGGUUGUAAAGUACUUUCAGCGGGGAGGCGUUACCCGCAGAAGAAGCACCGGCUAACUCCGUGCCAGCAGCCGCGGUAAUAC